CAUCUCCCACAACCUAGGUAACAGCUUUGAGACUCACUAAAAGUUGAACCCCCUGAAUGAUGUAGGCUAUGGGGCCACAUAAGACUUUGUCCAUCCAGGGUUACAUUGAACAAGAACUUUAAACUAAAAAACCAACAUUUUUCACACAACUCCAGGUUGUUACUACAAGUGUCAUCAAGGGAUAACUACAAGUAGAAGCAC